GUGCUCAUAUUGGUAGCAAAGACACUAAAAUUGAAAUGAUACAUAGAAGAUUUGCAUGGCCACUGCAUAAGGACAAUGCCCGAAUUCCUAGAACUUUCCAUAUUUUA